UUUCAUCUUAAUUUCUUAGGAC
rnacentral:miRNA from 1 species